GACGAACGCUGGCGGCGUGCUUAACACAUGCAAGUCGAACGGAAAGGCCCUUCGGGGUACUCGAGUGGCGAACGGGUGAGUAACACGUGGGUGAUCUGCCCUGCACUUUGGGAUAAGCCUGGGAAACUGGGUCUAAUACCGAAUAGGACCACGGCCUUCAUGGGUUGUGGUGGAAAGCUUUUGCGGUGUGGGAUGGGCCCGCGGCCUAUCAGCUUGUUGGUGGGGUAAUGGCCUACCAAGGCGACGACGGGUAGCCGGCCUGAGAGGGUGACCGGCCACACUGGGACUGAGAUACGGCCCAGACUCCUACGGGAGGCAGCAGUGGGGAAUAUUGCACAAUGGGCGCAAGCCUGAUGCAGCGACGCCGCGUGAGGGAUGACGGCCUUCGGGUUGUAAACCUCUUUCAGCAGGGACGAAGCGCAAGUGACGGUACCUGUAGAAGAAGGACCGGCCAACUACGUGCCAGCAGCCGCCGUAAGAC
rnacentral:rRNA from 1 species